UACAGAGGGGGCAAGCGUUAUUCGGAAUUAUUGGGCGUAAAGGGCGCGUAGGCGGCCUGGCAAGUGGAAGGUGAAAUCCCUCGGCUUAACCGAGGAACUGCCUCCCAAACUGCUUGGCUUGAGACCGGGAGAGGUGAGUGGAAUUCCCAGUGUAGCGGUGAAAUGCGUAGAUAUUGGGAGGAACACCAGUGGCGAAGGCGGCUCACUGGACCGGUACUGACGCUGAUGCGCGAAAGCGUGGGGAGCAAAC
rnacentral:rRNA from 1 species